GAUGAACGCUAGCUACAGGCUUAACACAUGCAAGUCGAGGGGCAGCAUGGUCUUAGCUUGCUAAGGCCGAUGGCGACCGGCGCACGGGUGAGUAACACGUAUCCAACCUGCCGUCUACUCUUGGACAGCCUUCUGAAAGGAAGAUUAAUACAAGAUGGCAUCAUGAGUCCGCAUGUUCACAUGAUUAAAGGUAUUCCGGUAGACGAUGGGGAUGCGUUCCAUUAGAUAGUAGGCGGGGUAACGGCCCACCUAGUCUUCGAUGGAUAGGGGUUCUGAGAGGCAGGUCCCCCACAUUGGAACUGAGACACGGUCCAAACUCCUACGGGAGGCAGCAGUGAGGAAUAUUGGUCAAUGGGCGAGAGCCUGAACCAGCCAAGUAGCGUGAAGGAUGACUGCCCUAUGGGUUGUAAACUUCUUUUAUAAAGGAAUAAAGUCGGGUAUGGAUACCCGUUUGCAUGUACUUUAUGAAUAAGGAUCGGCUAACUCCGUG
rnacentral:rRNA from 1 species